UGGGGAAUAUUGCACAAUGGGCGCAAGCCUGAUGCAGCCAUGCCGCGUGUGUGAAGAAGGCCUUCGGGUUGUAAAGCACUUUCAGCGAGGAGGAAGGGUAGUGUGUUAAUAGCACAUUGCAUUGACGUUACUCGCAGAAGAAGCACCGGCUAACUCCGUGCCAGCAGCCGCGGUAAUACGGAGGGUGCAAGCGUUAAUCGGAAUUACUGGGCGUAAAGCGCACGCAGGCGGUUUGUUAAGUCAGAUGUGAAAUCCCGCGCUUAACGUGGAACUGCAUUGAAACUGGCAAGCCAGAGUCUUGUAGAGGGGGGUAGAAUUCCAGGUGUAGCGGUGAAAUGCGUAGAGAUCUGGAGGAAUACCGGUGGCGAAGGCGGCCCCCUGGACAAAGACUGACGCUCAGGUGCGAAAGCGUGG
rnacentral:rRNA from 1 species